GACAAAAUUGGCUGUUCCAUCCUCCUUUCUUGGCUAGGGGAAACCAAUUCUGUUAGGAAGUGAUCUUCCUGUGAAAUGGACUUUGCACCGGAGCUGAUGGAUGCAUCCUAACACCUUCCACAACCACAAAAUGCACAUGUUAAUGUGAUGCUGAUAUUAGUGAGCACUAAGCAGGACAUCAUGAGGAGACAGAAAUAAUGAAAGUAUUGAUGUGGUGACCUGGCUCCGGUUGGCUAUCCAUUUAUGGUAGCUACAUCUCCCAGCAAAUCAUUCAAGCCAUACAGUGGAGCUUGGGAUCUUAUUGGUGAGUAUGUGGCCGGGGAGCUGAUUCAUGUGCUCUGCAGGUCAGCGAAUACCUCUGUAGCUCUGUACUUUCCUUGGAAGUUUUGGUGUGGCAGAGCUGGGCUCAUGGACUGACUUACCACUACAAC
rnacentral:lncRNA from 1 species